AGGCGAUACCGGACCCCACCCACCGCGUAUACCUCUGGAAUAGCGAUUGCCAUGAUUGAUGUCAGUAGCCUGGGCUGGGAGCCUGCAGGUAAUCAGAACUGCGAAGAUGAUUGGGUCACAGCCAGGAGACUGAUUUUGUAUCCAGAAGUUUCUGUUUCACAAUCACUAAACUACUCAUGCUCAAAGAUUAGUGUCAACAAGAAAUAAACAGACUCUGAUACCGAUAUAAAAUGAACGCGCGUUCAAGAUUUCCUUCAACUCAUUGUUAGCGCAGAAACCGGUAAGAUGUGCCAGCCAGGUCAAAGGAGAAGUGACAAAGGCACCUGUGUACGCGGAGUAAAGGGAUACAGGGGACACAGAAAGCCCCAAAGAUCGGGGCCACUGCGAUUCGUUUUCCAGAGAAGGACGCUCCGAGUUUGCACUCUGACCGCACUGAUGGGGCCCUGUUCCUCCGGUGUCCAUGGCUCCCAGCAAAGCAGACCAGCACCGCCCCCACGCACACCUAGGCCCAGCCCAGCCCCAACACCGGCUGCCGAGCUCACCAUGAUGAGGGCUAAUGGCUCUGGGCAUCGGCCUGCAAGCAUUUACUGAGCACCUACUGUAUGCUCAGUGCCCACAGGCCGAGAGGCAACGAAGACAAAGUCUCUGUCCUUAGUUCAGGGAAGCCACUCCCAGGCAGGGUUCUAGGAAAGAAAGAGCCCCGGGCUGCAUCCGCACUUCUCUGGGCUCCAACAGGAUGUGGUUGCAUCAUCUCCUGGAGGAACGGAUUUGCCUUGAAACGCAGGAGGCAGAGCGGGCCUGGGAGAAGGAGGUUGUUUCCACGCCUUCCUGGGGGAGAGGCUGGUGCAGUCGUGAGAGUCAACCGGGAGCUCGGAGGAGGAGCAGACAGGACGUGGGAGAGCUCGGGAGAGACCCAGGCUGGGCGUCUUGCAGCUCAGACCCUUGGCCACCCAAGCAGCGUAGCCGGCAUCACAGCCCACGGCGUGAGGCCACCAAGACAGACAGAGGAGGUGAGGGGGACCCGGACUGGGCCAGCCACACGUGGAGGUCGUGGAGGAAGCAGGCAUCUAUGCGGAAUCUCGGCCGCCCAGUCUGCCUUGUCCACAGAGAGGUGCCUGUCCGCUGCUUCGAGCGUGUGCCGACGUCUCCCGAAUGUGUCCCCUUUCUCUUCUUCCUUGGGAUUUCCUAACGUCUGACGAUCCCAGCUUGCGUUGGCCCCCUGUGCUGUGGCCCCACGACGUUUUGUCCAGCUUGAUCAGAGCAGAAAGGGGACCUGGUGGGCAGCCCAAGGGGCAGGAAACUUCCGGGUGGAUUCCAGCACAGCCCCAGCCCUGCCGGGGUCUUCAUGCCAAACCCCUGGUCGGCCAGGCUUGAAGCUGGGCUGUGGAGCCACAGUCCUGGCCUACAGGCAGGUGCUUAAGUCACUCAGGCCACUAUGACACAGUUCCACAGCCUGGGCAGCCUACAUAACAGACAUGUACCUCUCACAGUUCCAGAGGCUGGACGUCCACAGUGAGACACUGUCUCUAAAAAAUAAAUAAAUAAAAAAUAAACAAAAGGCCAGGAAAAACGUAAGGUAGUAUCAAAAAUGUAAUGUGUCAAUCUCUUUUCAUGACAGGCUACAACUGAAAACACCAGUCAUAUUACCAAGGCUGUGACCGAAAUCGUGUCUCUGAGAAUGUGCCUCAAGCGUUCCAAGCCUGGCCGGCCGCGCUGGCUCACGCCUAUCAUCCCAGCACUUUGGGAGGCUGAGGUGGGAAGAUCACCUGGUGUCAGGAGUUUGAGACCAGCCUGGCCAACAUGGUGAAACCCCAUCUCUACUAAAAAUACUAAAAUUAGCUGGGCGUGGUGACAGCCGCCUGUAAUCCCAGCUACCUGGGAGGCUGAGACAGGAGAACCGCUUGAACCCGGGAGGCAGAGGUUGAAGUGAGCCAACAUCGCGCCAUUGCGCUCCAGCCUGGGCAACAAGAUCAAAACUCCAUCCCCCCUCCAAAUAAAAAGAAAGUUCCCAGCCUUACAGCGAGAGUAAAUAAAAACUGUCACCAUCUGGCAGGCCCAGGAACCUCAGGGCUAUCGGUCAAAUCUAAAGCCUGCCUUGGUUUGGCUUCUUAGCCUCAAGAGGCCAUUAAAUCUGAGAUUCCCAUCUGAUCAACAUAGGGAGAAAAGCUUAUGUUUCUAAAGAAAAGCUGUAGGCCUGGGUGCAGUGCCUCACGCCUGUAAUCCCAACACUUUGGGAGGCUGAGGUAGGAGGAUCACUUGAGCCCAGGAGUUCGAGACCAGCCUGGGCAAAAUAGAGAGACCCUUAUCUCUAUACUUUUUGAAAAAGGAAAAGAAAAGCUAUAAUACAUCUGUUAGGAGAUUGUAGCUCUGGGCAUUGUAUUUGAGCUCUUAUAUCUACCUACAGACUAGACUAGAUCCUAAAUUCUUCUAGAUUCCUUCAGUCAAAAUUUCUUCCAUGGAAUUACUAAAAAUAAAAACUGCUCUGUUCCUAAAUCCCUAUAAACUGAAACUAGAUGAAUUUUAAGGAACAAGUCUCAUAUCUGACCUAUGGGCCCCACAGGAGUUCACCAAACCAUCCAAUGCCAUAACCACAGACAUUUCACCUGCAAACCAGGCAGAGAAGCUGGCGUUUUCACACUGUAGCCAGGGCUUCCAGUUCAUCGGGACGAGAUUCUGUAUCAGAGACGCCCUCCCUCUUACCGUCUACCUGCUCGUGCCACAGGAUCAUGGUCAUUUAGUUCAAGUGGUUCUUCUGCCUCAGCCUCCCGAGUAGCUGGGAUUACAGGCACCCGCCACCACGCCUGGCUAAUUUUUGUAUUUUUAGUAGAGAUGGGGUUUCACCAUGUUGGCCAGGCUGGUCUCGAACUCCUGAUCUCAGGUGAUCUGCCUGCCUUGGCCUCCCAAAGUGCUGGGAUUACAGGCGUGCGCCACCGCACCCGGCAUAAAAAUUAUUUCUUAAUAACUCUUGUAUUACUAUCACAAAAGACUGAGAAACCACAACGCUGUAUGAAGUCCACUGCAACCAUGGACAGAAAAUACUGUGAGGACAUCUGCCCAGCAACUGCGGUCCAACCCUGGACUGGCACCCCCCGCCGCUGAUGCUUGUAGACAAGGGGAAUCGCCUCAAAACAACGGUGUGAUCCUCGUUUUCCCUUUAAAAGCCUUUUUCUCCCUUUACCUCCCUGAACACACACAUAGUCUACCACCGCACGUGUGUUCCGACUGCAACGCCCUAUUUUUGAAUAAAUGUCGUUUUCUUUCA